CUGGCGGCAGGCUUAGCACAUGCAAGUCGAACGGUAGCAGGAAGAAAGCUUGCUUUCUUUGCUGACGAGUGGCGGACGGGUGAGUAAUGCUUGGGAAUCUGGCUUAUGGAGGGGGAUAACUGUGGGAAACUGCAGCUAAUACCGCGUAUUCUCUGAGGAGGAAAGGGUGGGACCUUAGGGCCACCUGCCAUAAGAUGAGCCCAAGUGGGAUUAGGUAGUUGGUGGGGUAAAGGCCUACCAAGCCUGCGAUCUCUAGCUGGUCUGAGAGGAUGACCAGCCACACUGGAACUGAGACACGGUCCAGACUCCUACGGGAGGCAGCAGUGGGGAAUAUUGCGCAAUGGGGGGAACCCUGACGCAGCCAUGCCGCGUGAAUGAAGAAGGCCUUCGGGUUGUAAAGUUCUUUCGGUAAUGAGGAAGGGAUGUUGUUAAAUAGAUAGCAUCAUUGACGUUAAUUACAGAAGAAGCACCGGCUAACUCCGUGCCAGCCGCCGCGGUAAU
rnacentral:rRNA from 1 species